GGAGGGAUGGCUGAGUGGUUGAAAGCACCGGUCUUGAAAACCGGCGUGCCGCAAGGUACCGUGGGUUCGAAUCCCACUCCCUCCGCCA
rnacentral:tRNA from 1 species